UUAUCUCCUCUCGUCAGAAUUAGCAUUUUGAACAAUAUUCAAAUGAUUUGCAUUGACAACCUUUCCCAUAUUCUGUACAGCUAAAAACAGGGUACAAGAAACAGAGCACAUCGAGUACGAGGCAAAAUCAAGAGAAACCCUCCAAUAAAGUAUACAAAUAUGAAGCGUCAAAUAACAGAACCUUUCUUAAGAAUGGACAGACACGCGAAAUGUUUGAUAGAAUGCCUCGAAGAGGUUUCAUCUCAUGGAAUGCCAUAAUUGCAUGUGCAAGUCAAAUUUCCCAACCUUUGCCAGAAUCUUUCCGUCCUGUCCCAAAAUGGGAUCGGGAGCUUUGGAACAUGGUAUGGACAUCCAUCAAAACAUUAGUCAGAUGUAGCUGCCACUUCCCUGAUGGACAUGUAUACAAAAUGUGGAAGCAUAGACAUGGCACGUGAACUGUUUGACAUAAUGCUUCAAAGACGUGCCAUCCCAUAGAAGGAUUGCAGGAUAUGCACAAAAUGGAUUUUUGCAACGAUCCUCUCAAAAUCUUUGCACUCUGGCACAUAUCCUGACAUUGUAAGCAAAGCCUUCUAUGUGCACGCAUUCUAUGUGCAGGCAGCCAUGCAGGUUUAGUGGAUGAGGGUUGGGUUUUAUGGAAGGGGUUUCUUAAAAAUAGAGUUGGAGUUGUUAAGAUUCUUUAUAAUAUUUUAAAGUUUAUGGUCGCAUGAAUUUUAUGGUACAGUUCAGCUUAAAAGUUUAAGUUCAGAUUUAAGGAAGCUAGUGGUCUCAUGAAUUUUGAUGCUGGUCUUCUAUAUUCUGUGCAGUGUUGAUGGAGUGUAUAAAAAAAUUU